UACGGAGGGUGCAAGCGUUGCUCGGAAUUACUGGGCGUAAAGCGCACGCAGGCGGCUUGGUAAGUCGGAUGUGAAAGCCCGGAGCUCAACUCCGGAACUGCAUUCGAUACUGCCUUGCUUGAGUUCGAGAGAGGGUGGUGGAAUUCCUGGUGUAGAGGUGAAAUUCGUUGAUAUCAGGAGGAACACCGGCGGCGAAGGCGGCCACCUGGCUCGAUACUGACGCUCAUGUGCGAAAGCGUGGGGAGCAAACAGG
rnacentral:rRNA from 1 species